CUGGGAAGACUUUCAACUACCAAUAGCUAAUAUGUAUGACCCAUAGGACAUUUCGUAUGUAUAUUAAUUAAUUGUUAACCAGGGUUUGAUUGACCCGUUAAGAUUAGGGUUGUUUAAUAACCAAAAGUUAGUACAAUGUUAGCUGCUAUACUACGUUUACAAGUUUCUAUUUAGAAAUAUCACAGUAGAUGUUAAAACAUAGUGAGUGCCAUCGAUGGAAAAAAAAAAAAAA